rnacentral:lncRNA from 1 species
GCCACUUUAACAAAAUCAAAAAAAAAAAAACUAAACUAAACCUCUCCUUAUUCAUUCGGCUGAACCAUGAACCUUCUGCCCAGCCACCACACGUUACCGUGACCGGUGAUUGGCGGUGAGCGAAGCCCGUUCUAAACCGAUUAAAGCCACAUAUGCCAAUUUCAACCCCGAAAUCCUCACUUAGACUUCGAUUUAGACGAAGAAGAUGAGGACUCCGAAGGCGAACUCUCAAUGGUAAACCCUCUAUUUUUUUAGAUUCGUCGAAUAGAUUCAAAAUAAAGUAAAAAAAAAACAAGAAUAAGAGCAGAGAAAUAAUCUACGAAUCACCUUUGGUAAACUCUUUUUGAAUUGAUUUCUUUUUUCAUAUAUGCGUCUGUUCUCUCUAUUUUACAUCGUUUCAUUCAGUUUUAUAGCCAAAAUAAAUAAAAUAAAUAAAUAAAAAGAAAUCCAAAUUUCAUUGCUGUCAUUUGUUGCUAUUUGCUGUCCAUUGCUUGUGGUUGUUUUCGUUUGUUAGUCUGUUGCAGGUACAGCUAGAGGGUGGCGCGUGUGGAGGCCAUUAUGGGGGUGAAGCGUGAAGUCACUGGUGGCUGCUUGCGGCCCGAGGGUAGACGGGGCUAGGGUUUGCUUCAAGCAUGGUUUGGGCUUAGGGUUUAUUAUUCUUUUGGGUCUGCUUGUAAAAUUUUGGGCUUAAUUUUAUUAUUGGGUAUUGGGUUUUGUAAUGGGCUAAGGGGUUAUAGACUGUUUUAUUGAUUUUUAUUAUUUUUUGGUUUUUUUGCAUUUAGUUUAUAAGUCUAAAGGCCCGGGUGAAAUGGGCCUAUUACAAAUAUAAAUUAUAAAAAAUUAAAAUUUUAUUCGGCCCUCCCUAAAUAUUUAUUCUGGCUUCGCCCAUGCUUUAUAGAUGGGUAGAUAUGUAGAUGUCCACAUAUAUGAACUCGGGUUUAACAUUUUUAAUUUGAGUCGAGCUAAGGCAAAACUUUAAACUUAUUUUCCAAGCAGGAUUUGAGCCUAAAAUUUUGUAUGGACCCAAUCCAUGAUCAAGUUUAAUGAUUUAUUUUACUAAAUUUGAUUUACUUUAUAUGAAAAGAGAAGACUAAAAUUUAUAAUAUAAGCAUCUAAAUUUUCUUGGAUUCUCAAUUCUCAACAAGUUUAAGAACAUUGGGC